GUGAACGCUGGCGGUAGGCCUAACACAUGCAAGUCGAACGGCAGCACAGUAAGAGCUUGCUCUUACGGGUGGCGAGUGGCGGACGGGUGAGGAAUACAUCGGAAUCUACUUUUUCGUGGGGGAUAACGUAGGGAAACUUACGCUAAUACCGCAUACGACCUACGGGUGAAAGCAGGGGACCUUCGGACCUUGCGCGAUUGAAUGAGCCGAUGUCGGAUUAGCUAGUUGGCGGGGUAAAGGCCCACCAAGGCGACGAUCCGUAGCUGGUCUGAGAGGAUGAUCAGCCACACUGGAACUGAGACACGGUCCAGACUCCUACGGGAGGCAGCAGUGGGGAAUAUUGGACAAUGGGCGCAAGCCUGAUCCAGCCAUACCGCGUGGGUGAAGAAGGCCUUCGGGUUGUAAAGCCCUUUUGUUGGGAAAGAAAAGCAGCAGGUUAAUACCCCGCUGUUCUGACGGUACCCAAAGAAUAAGCACCGGCUAACUUCGUG
rnacentral:rRNA from 1 species